AAGAAUAAUGUCCUUCAAAAUUACUAGUUAUUGCAAAGACCAUAUGUUUAGAUUAACACCCAUGAUCUCCAUAUCGCAUUCGGUCGUACUUAAUGAAACCUAGAAAUGAUGAUCUUCUCUAGUUGAUGUUGUUUUUCGUCACCAGCUUGUCACUUAUUGAAACCAAGGAUUACAAUAUCGAAUGCUUUGUGGCUAAUUACUCUUGACUUUGUCAAGCCUGAGUGACUAUUUAGUUAAUUUCAUAAUUGAUCACGAAUGAAACCUAGAAAUGAUGAUCUUCUCUAGUUGAUGUUGUUUUUCGUCACCAGCUUGUCACUUUUUGAAACCAAGGAUUACAAUAUCGAAUGCUUUGUGGCUAAUUACUCUUGACUUUGUCAAGCCUGAGUGACUAAUUGAUCACGAAGCAAUAAUGUCUUUGAAAAUGGGGUUUGAAUAAUGUAUUCUACUGUUCUUUUAAUGUAGGG
rnacentral:lncRNA from 1 species